AAAUUGAAGAGUUUGAUCAUGGCUCAGAUUGAACGCUGGCGGCAGGCCUAACACAUGCAAGUCGAACGGUAACAGGAAGCAGCUUGCUGCUUCGCUGACGAGUGGCGGACGGGUGAGUAAUGUCUGGGAAACUGCCUGAUGGAGGGGGAUAACUACUGGAAACGGUGGCUAAUACCGCAUAACGUCGCAAGACCAAAGAGGGGGACCUUCGGGCCUCUUGCCAUCAGAUGUGCCCAGAUGGGAUUAGCUUGUUGGUGAGGUAACGGCUCACCAAGGCGACGAUCCCUAGCUGGUCUGAGAGGAUGACCAGCCACACUGGAACUGAGACACGGUCCAGACUCCUACGGGAGGCAGCAGUGGGGAAUAUUGCACAAUGGGCGCAAGCCUGAUGCAGCCAUGCCGCGUGUAUGAAGAAGGCCUUC
rnacentral:rRNA from 4 species